GACGGGAGAUGCGAGCGUUGUUCGGAAUCAUUGGGCUUAAAGCGUGUGUAGGCGGCUCGGUAAGUACCUUGUGAAAUCCCCGGGCUCAACCUGGGAACUGCAUUUGUGACUGCAUGGCUAGAGUACGGUAGAGGGGGAUGGAAUUCCGCGUGUAGCAGUGAAAUGCGUAGAUAUGCGGAGGAACACCGAUGGCGAAGGCAAUCCCCUGGACCUGUACUGACGCUCAUGCACGAAAGCGUGGGGAGCAAUCAGG
rnacentral:rRNA from 1 species